UUGAAAUCAAAGCUUUUUUAUACCGCGUGUGAAAGUCUCGAUUUUACAUUGAACAUUUCUUCGAAGUUUCGCGGUGGUUUACAAACGUUCAAGAGUUAAAAAAUGCCUGUACUUGUGGUCAGAAUAAGUGAUCAGGAAGGCACUGACUUAUUGGCAAAUACAGUCACCAACUUUUCGGGGGGUAAAUUCUACGAGUUGUUUGAAAAGUGUGUGGAAUCGAAAGACAUUAUCUUGUCUGUUGAUUCGAUGUGGAAGUUCGUCUGCGUGAAGGACAAAAUGCCCAAUUCAUCAUCGCAGAUAAUGCUGAUAUGGACGUUUCAGAAAUAACCUCUUCAUUUAAUUACCUUCUUGGCAGACCAUGGAAAGAGUAGUCAUUACAUGUUCCAGUUGAAAAAGUGCAAUAACUGUGCCUAUUACACAGUUAUUAACCCCCAAGGCUUCCUGUUGCUGAAUUCCAGAGUUUGCAUUUUCUGCCUGACCCUGUUCCUGGUGGAGAAGGCCAUUAUCAAACCUUUGAGGAGGUGUAUGGACAAGUAACAGACGAUACAUACAGGCCGAGUGCUCAAGUACAGGAUGAUCCUGCCACUGCCAACGACAGGCGUAACCGAGAUAUAUUUAAGACCCAAAAAGUUCGUGGUGUUAUUGUAUUUGGAGAGUGCUCAAAACCAAGAUGUGUCUACAGUGAUAAAAAGCUUACCUGUGAACAAGUAAGUUAUUAGUAUUGUAUGUUAUUGGUGGCUUCACUGUCUCGUUUAGCAAGCUUAAGAGGCCUUCAGUACCUGCAGUUUUAACUACGCUAAAUUUAAGUUGAUAUUAAAGUAGAUUUGUGAAACUUUUUUUUCAUG